AUCAUACAUAAAUUUGCCAACAAAAUUUAACCGUCGCUUCGAACGUCUUACAACGGCGUGUUCCUUUCACGCGCGAUCCUAUUGUGUGCUCGUUUCCAUGAAAACUAUUACCACAAUGGAGACUUUGUCGAUCCUGAAAAAAUAUAGAAAUACACAGGAGUGGAUAGAUACGCUCUAGGUAACUAUGUAGGUAACUCGGGUGACACUACUGUUUUGCGGAAACUUGGGAAAUGCGACCGAGUAAAUUCAACAGCGGUAACCCCAACGAGCCAUGAAAAUCGACAAUAACCAUUCGAAUAGUAAAUUGUACUGCAAUCCUCAGAUACGCAUGUGUAUAUCACGGUGUCAUGAUAGAGCAAGCAGCCAAUAAGUCACCAGUUACCCAGAGAGAGUGCGCUGUUUCCUACCUAGUGAAUCAAAUAAGGAUUGGUACGAGGGAACUUGAACACCUAACGGAUGUGGAAAUGAGCAAUGAGCUACCAAUUGGGAAUUGGGUAAUUCAUUGGUUCGCUAUCGAACAGCUCCUACCUACUUCUUCGUAUUACCUCUGAUGGAUGAAUCUCGGGCAGGAUCGAGCGGUUCACGUUGAUUUGCCGCCAUUCUACGUCGCUAUAGUAAAUUGAACCGGGAUUUUUCACAUGCCCCAUCAGAAACACUCGUUUCCCUCUUCUCUCUAGGUACUUGUAUCACGUAAAUCCGGUGUCGAGAGUAAAAGUGACUGCUACUUGGAGCAUCCCAUUGUACUUUCGGAAUAACAGAUCAAUUGUCGUUGUCAUUUUACCUGCCAGAAGCAUUCCUCGGGCUGUUACGUUUCGACGCAUCCUCACGAACUGACUCUCGCGCAGUUUACGCCUAGCUGAGGCGUGGAGAAAGAGAUAAAUAAACAGAGUGCAUGUCGACACGUCAACUGGGAAAUUUUGAACCCGUGACUGUUCGUCAACGAGGUAGAAGCUUCAUCGGAAAUGGUAAAAAAAAAAAUCGUGCGAAACGAAGCGACAGGGUGAAUAAAAGAGAGACGAAGACUCGAGUACGAAUAAAGUAUAACAAUUUAUUCAUGCCAUUCAAUUUGAAUCGACUAUGGUUUCCGCGCUAUUGGAUGUUAUUUUAUUCGUGACAUUUUUUCGUGAAAUCAAGGCACUGUUUACAUCGAACGAAAUAUCAUUAUUUUUCUUAUACAGAGUUAUUCGGUAGAAAUGAACCCCCUGAAGUUAGCGCGCCCAUUUGAGUCUUAUGGUAAAAUCAUGUUCAGACGGUGCGUUUGGGUUGAAUAACCUGAUGUGUAUAUAUACAUAUGUGUUCACCGUGAUGCUUUAAACUUUCCGCUUCCAGCUUGAGAAGAUUCACUUCGAAAUGGAUGUACUGAAGAAUUUUUACAAUUUUUCAUAAAUUAUUAAAAAGAAAUUAAGCUUUUUUAUUUUCACUAAAUGCAGGUCAAUGGACUUUUAAGGAUGAAAAAUGUAUGGCCCGGAUGCAUUUCGCUGAAUAAUUCACAUAGAAAAACGCUAGAGAUUUUUUUACUAAUCAUAUUUCAUCCCUAGUAGAAAUUCCAUUGUGUGGGUCGGGGGCCCGUCGAAGUCCUAGCUAGUCGGGGGGUACCAACACGGCCCUGAACUUGCCAAAUGAAAUUUCUGCUGUGAAUGAAUUUAGGAAAUAUUAAUUUUUCGAUUAAUACUAUGGACAUUUAAGGUUCCCGAAAUGAUAAGAGUAUAAUUAUGAUCCGAUUUAGAGGUUUAUGCAAACUGAUUUUGAACUUUCUGUUAUUGUGAACGUCAACCAACGUCUGCCAACGUCGUAGUGAAAUAGCUGUUUGCGAUUGAACAUCAUUUAAGGUUAAUUAUUGACCCUUUGCACUCGACAUGCCCCCAUUAUCUAUGUUUUUUGGCACCUGAGAGGCGACCGU